GGAAAUCCACCAGUUCGGUCGAGGUGGUGAUGCGAACGUCGAUCUCCGGAUGCUGUUCCUGAAAGGACGACAAUCUGGGCAGCAGCCAUUAGCGAUGUCAGGGUGCUGAUCGUCAGCACGCGAUCGUCGCCCUUACGCAGCAGGCGGUCGGUGGCGGUGCGCAAAUCCUGAAACGCGGCACGGAUGCCCGGCAGAUACUCCAGCGAGCGGCUCUGCCGGAUGAACAGCCGGAUGCCGAGUUCUUCCUCCAGCCGCCGGAUCUGGUGGCUGAUGGCGGUCUGGGUGACGUUCAGUUCCUGCGCGGCGUGGGUGAAACUGAGGUGCCGUGCGGCGGCCUCGAAUGCGCGCAAACCGUUGAGCGAGGGCAAUCUGGCGNAUCGGCCCCUCUAAUGCAUGAUAUUAUCUCAUAUUACAGGGGACAAGCUAUCGUUUGUCAA
rnacentral:misc_RNA from 1 species